rnacentral:tRNA from 1 species
GUCCCCGUAGCUCAAUUGGAUAGAGCAACGGACUUCUAAUCCGUAGGUUGACAGUUCGACUCUGUCCGGGGAUA